GAUUUUUUUUUUUUGGGUGAACGUGCGGAGGGAUCAUUACACAAAUAUGAAGGCGGGCGGGAACCUCUCGGGGUUACAGCCUUGCUGAAUUAUUCACCCUCGUCUUUUGCGUACUUCUUGUUUCCUUGGUGGGUUCGCCCACCACUAGGACAAACAUAAACCUUUUGUAAUUGCUAUCAGCGUCAGUAACAAAUUAAUAAUUACAACUUUCAACAACGGAUCUCUUGGUUCUGGCAUCGAUGAAGAACGCAGCGAAAUGCGAUAAGUAGUGUGAAUUGCAGAAUUCAGUGAAUCAUCGAAUCUUUGAACGCACAUUGCGCCCUUUGGUAUUCCAAAGGGCAUGCCUGUUCGAGCGUCAUUUGUACCCUCCAGCUUUGCUUGGUGUUGGGCGUCUUGUCUCUAGCUUUGCUGGAGACUCGCCUUAAAGUAAUUGGCAGCCGGCCUACUGGUUUCGGAGCGCAGCACAAGUCGCACUCUCUAUCAGCAAAGGUCUAGCAUCCAUUAAGCCUUUUUUUCAACUUUUGACCUCGGAUCAGGUAGGGAUACCCGCUGAACUUAAGCAUAUCAAUAAGACCGGAGCAA
rnacentral:rRNA from 1 species